rnacentral:rRNA from 1 species
UCAACGGAGAGUUUGAUCCUGGCUCAGGAUGAACGCUGGCGGCGUGCUUAACACAUGCAAGUCGAACGAUGAUCCCUAGCUUGCUGGGGGGAUUAGUGGCGAACGGGUGAGUAACACGUGAGUAACCUGCCCUUGACUCUGGGAUAAGCCUGGGAAACUGGGUCUAAUACCG